rnacentral:rRNA from 1 species
AUUCACGCUGGCGGCGUGCCUAAUACAUGCAAGUCGAGCGAACAGACGAGGAGCUUGCUCCUCUGACGUUAGCGGCGGACGGGUGAGUAACACGUGGAUAACCUACCUAUAAGACUGGGAUAACUUCGGGAAACCGGAGCUAAUACCGGAUAAUAUAUUGAACCGCAUGGUUCCAUAGUGAAAGACGGUUUUGCUGUCACUUAUAGAUGGAUCCGCGCCGCAUUAGCUAGUUGGUAAGGUAACGGCUUACCAAGGCAACGAUGCGUAGCCGACCUGAGAGGGUGAUCGGCCACACUGGAACUGAGACACGGUCCAGACUCCUACGGGAGGCAGCAGUAGGGAAUCUUCCGCAAUGGGCGAAAGCCUGACGGAGCAACGCCGCGUGAGUGAUGAAGGUCUUCGGAUCGUAAAACUCUGUUAUUAGGGAAGAACAAAUGUGUAAGUAACUAUGCACGUCUUGACGGUACCUAAUCAGAAAGCCACGGCUAACUACGUG